UACGGAGGAUGCGAGCGUUAUUCGGAAUCAUUGGGUUUAAAGGGUCUGUAGGCGGGCUAUUAAGUCAGGGGUGAAAGGUUUCAGCUUAACUGAGAAAUUGCCUUUGAUACUGGUAGUCUUGAAUAUCUGUGAAGUUCUUGGAAUGUGUAGUGUAGCGGUGAAAUGCUUAGAUAUUACACAGAACAUCGAUUGCGAAGGCAGGGGACUAACAGACAAUUGACGCUGAGAGACGAAAGCGUGGGGAGCGAACAGG
rnacentral:rRNA from 1 species